rnacentral:rRNA from 1 species
UAGGGAAUCUUCCACAAUGGGCGAAAGCCUGAUGGAGCAACGCCGCGUGUGUGAUGAAGGGUUUCGGCUCGUAAAACACUGUUGUAAGAGAAGAAUGACAUUGAGAGUAACUGUUCAAUGUGUGACGGUAUCUUACCAGAGAGGAACGGCUAAAUACGUGCCAA